rnacentral:rRNA from 1 species
GAUGAACGCUAGCGGCAGGCUUAAUACAUGCAAGUCGAGGGGCAGCACGGUUAGCAAUAACUGGUGGCGACCGGCGCACGGGUGCGUAACACGUAUACAAUCUACCUUAAACAGGGGGAUAGCCUUUCGAAAGAGAGAUUAAUACCCCGUAAUAAAUUGAACGGCAUCGUUUGAUUUUGAAAGCUCCGGCGGUUUGAGAUGAGUAUGCGUCUGAUUAGCUAGUUGGUGAGGUAACGGCUCACCAAGGCGACGAUCAGUAGGGGAUCUGAGAGGACUAACCCCCACACUGGUACUGAGACACGGACCAGACUCCUACGGGAGGCAGCAGUAAGGAAUAUUGGUCAAUGGAGGCAACUCUGAGCCAGCCAUGCCGCGUGCAGGAUGACGGCCCUAUGGGUUGUAAACUGCUUUUAUACAAGAGAAAACCCUGGUACGUGUACCAGGUUGAUAGUAUUGUAAGAAUAAGCAUCGGCUAACUUCGUGCCAGCAGCCGCGGU